rnacentral:lncRNA from 1 species
ACCCAUUCACCUUCACCCCAUUCGCAUAUCAAAUCAGCAACAAAGUCCGGUAACCAUUUCAAACCGUUCGGUUUUGAGCUUUCUCGUCUUAAAAAAAAUAUCGAUCGAUGGCCUCACCGUUGGACUCACCCACAGAGGUAAGAGGACUGUUUGCGAUGGUAAUUUUGUUCAACUGCUGCGCUGUCCUGUUAGUGUGGAUGAAAAUCGAUAUUCUGUUGGAGGGUCAGGUGGUCAAAGAUAUCUGAGAACAGAUAGUAGUAGCGCCCGUCGACCACGGUCCCGGCCAAGCCACUGGCCAACAGGAAGAGCUCUUUGGGACCGGAGGGCCCAAGGCUGUUCAACAUCACUACGUAGGCCAUCGGGAGUGCCUGCGUGCCGCGUAGUAUCCGGCCAUGGAGCACUUGAUCAAGGCAUCGAGGGCUCCCCCUGGAGAGAGAGGCUCUUCGUGUACCCGAAAAAUGGCAUUUGGAAAUUCAGGUUCCUGACUUUGCUCUAACAUAGACGAUUGCAUUUGAUACCAAAGGUGAGUGGGAGUAUUUACCGAGUGGCUCCCCGUUCCUGAGAUCGGUCCCUUGACGAGCCGUGUUCGUACCCAUUUUGUGGGAACUGGUGCGGCGUGUAGAUGUGGUAUCAAGCCUAACGAAAAGAAGGCAUGAUUCACUCGGUUAUAUCAAGCCCACCAAAAGAUGUGGUAUCAACUAUCACCCACGGAGCGUGUGCUUAUUCUUAUGUAACAUGAGGAUGAAAUAAACCAUAGACGAGUUCAGUUUAAUUGCCAAACGUGAAGCGAUGGGCUUCACUUUCACUCCUUUGGAGUAUCAUAGGUAAUUAAUUCACAGUGAGUCAAGCUUAGGUUCUUUCUCUUUUUUUUUCCUUGGUGAAAGGACAGGGAAUGACAAACAAUAUAGCUACCAUCUUCAGGCUAUACUAUAGGGCACCUUUACCUGUUGCAAAGUAUGUGGUUAGGUGCCUUAAAGACUUAAAAUAUAUUUUGAAUUUGAAUCCGUGCAGAAAAUCUGAUCCGCUCUCUACCGCACAGGCGAAGCACGCACUUUAAAUGCUAUGGUAUCAGCAUGGGGAAUAAAAAAUGAAAAGAGAGGAAUAUGGUGGACGUCUUUGUUUUUUCUUCGUACCAGCAUUUGCUGAUACACUCCCUGCACAUUGCUUGGCCAUGUGAACGCGCGUAAAGAAAGAAGAAAAUGACCAGCUUCUCUGGCUUCAUUCUCCGAAGAAAGGAGAACAAUGAUGACUUUGACCGAGAUGGAGAAGAGAUGAAGAGCUUGGGAGAGCUCUUCGUGUAUCAGAGAAAAGGUAUGGGCUUCUUUUGUCUCUUUCAUUAAAUCGAUCAUCCUUUUUACCAAUAAUUUCUUCGACACUUACCAAUACUUAUUAAAAUUUUCCUGGGCAUGGAACAGUAGAAUUUUGCAACUACAUUAUAGGAAACAACUUGUUGGUCAUUUAGAUAAAGUUAGGAUUUGUAGGUUAAUAAUUUGACAUAACAUUAAGUAAAUCAAAGCAACGGCAAAUUAUAGGAAUUAAAGAUGAUAAGUUAAUAAACAAUUUGAUAAAUUUACAAUUAUCAAUAAGUUACCAAUAUGUUAGUUUGGAAAAAGUAAACCAAUCGUAUUUUUUACCAAUUUUUUUUAACACUUAUCAAUACUUAUUGAAAUUUACUAUCACGAAAAAAAUAAAAAUUCCUGGGCAUGGAACAAUAGAUUUUUGCAAUUAUGUUAUAGUAAAAUAAAUCUAUUAUAAGUCAUGAGAGUCUCAUGAUUACCACUACCUAACUAAAAAUCUUCACGGAUGCUAUAAGGGCUAUAAGGUGUGUCGCAUGUGCCUUAAAGCUUGCCUAGACAGCUUUUUCAUUCAAAGAUGGCUAAAAGUUUACUUGAUGAAAGAUAAUAAGAGCUUACAACUUACAAUAUAUUAAAAAGUGCAUGGACUUAUAUAUAUAUAAAUAGGUAAUAUCUAAAGCUUAAAGUACCCAUUCUUGAUCAUCCAUUCCAAGCUCCAAUGAUCUUCUGCGCACUUGAGAGUCCAAUACGCCCAUCCAAACGUGGCUCUUUCGUAUGCUUUCAGUUGAGCCUCCACAUACUCUUGGUUCUCCUCUUCUGUUGCUCCAUUCGGUCCCCACUCCGCUACCCAUUCACCUGCAAUUUCACAUUACAUCAUCGAUCCACACUUCUUAUAUAUACAUGUACACGCGAAAAUUAGUACAUAUAUGGCAUCAAUGCCAUGACAAUUUUGUUACAGGUUUGGACUUACCCACAAAAAUGAGAGGUCCAUUUGAUGUAGCAAGACUUUCCAAUUGGGCAAACCAGCCUUCGUAAAAGAAAGGAAGGGUAUCUUGGAU